GAGGGUGUAGCUCAGUGGUAGAGUACAUGCCUGGUGUGCACAAGGUCCUGGAUUCAAUCCCCAGUAUCUCCC
rnacentral:tRNA from 1 species